rnacentral:rRNA from 1 species
AGAGUUUGAUCCUGGCUCAGAAUGAACGUUGGCGGCGUGGAUUAGGCAUGCAAGUCGAACGGGCCGCAAGGCCAGUGGCGGAAGGGUGAGUAAGGCGACGGUAACCAACCCCAUGGUCGGGUAUAGCCGCGGGAAACUGCGGGUAAUCCCCAGCGACGUCCGGAGCGGGCAUCCGCACCGGACCAAAGUCCUGGCGCCGUGGGACGGGCCGUCGUGGUAUUAGGUCGUUGGCGGGGUAACGGCCCACCAAGCCUAUGAUGCCUACCGGGCGUGCGAGCGUGGCCCGGCACACUGGGACUGAGACACUGCCCAGACUCCUACGGGAGGCUGCAGUCGAGAAUCUUCGGCAAUGGGCGCAAGCCUGACCGAGCGACGCCGCGUGGAGGAUGAAGGCCUUCGGGUUGUAAACUCCUGUCGAGGGUGAGGAAGGUCGGCAACGGCUUGACCGAUCCCUGGAGGAAGCACGGGCUAAGUUCGUGCCAGCAGCCGCGGUAAGACGAACCGUGCGAACGUUAUUCGGAAUCACUGGGCUUAAAGCGCGUGUAGGCGGAUGGGGACGUCGGUUGUUGAAAGCCCCCGGCUCAACCGGGGAACUGGCACCGAAACGCCCCGUCUCGAGGGACGUAGGGGGACCUGGAACUUCCGGUGGAGCGGUGAAAUGCGUUGAGAUCGGAAGGAACGCCCGUGGCGAAAGCGAGGUCCUGGACGUCUACUGACGCUGAGACGCGAAAGCUAGGGUAGCGAACGGGAUUAGAUACCCNNGUAGUCC